CAAAGAAAGUGUAAUAUUUAAAACGUAAAAGAAGUUGAUCGUCCUCUAGAAUGCCUUGUUCCAUUAGCGAUCGAGAUGAAUCUAGCCAGCUGCAGAAGAAAACAACCCACAAAUUCAUUUUUACAGGAAAAACUAUCACACCUGCAGAGCUCCAAUGUAAUUGUGAAACAAAAAUGAGAACGAACAGCUCUAAUUCCUGUGAACCUGGGGAAAAUUCAAACAACUUGAAAAGGCAGAACAUUCAUAUGGAUUUUCAACUCUGUGUAUGAAAACAACACCUAAAAUCUUUCCAGUUUUUCUCCAGCACUAGCCAAAAUCUUCUGCUUCAGAAGUAGAUGCCAGAAACAGAGCAGAAAAGAGUUAUGGGAUGAUCUACCAAAAGAUUCUUUCUUCUUGACCUCCAGAAAUGGGAAAUUAACUUAAGCCAAGCAUCACUCCUCCAAUAUGAAGGUCCCCUGAGACCCGUAGUAUAAAUUCCUUUUGCUCCUCUUCGUACUGAUGAUCGACUACCACCAGGAGCUCCCAAGAGUUGGACCCGUAUUCACUUGAGGAAGUCAUUUCUGGUAAUGUCUGUGAAGCUCUGCAGAGGAAAAAAAAAAGGAUUUUUUUUUAUUUCCCAUCUUUGAAAUAAAUGCAUCUCUCCAAAGUCCCAAAAUAUUUCCAUGCUGCCAAGACUUCACAGUGGCCUUGGCUGAAACUUCAGAUGUGGUAUCUUGUUAUCUCUGUACUAGUCUCUGCUUUUGUAGUUACUCUUACAAGAUAGAAAUGUGUGUGUGCAUUUUUUUUUUUUUAUUAUGAAUGUUUUGCAUUUUUUCCUAUCUCAAGCUCUCUUGUUGGGUAGAGACAGCCCAGUCUCACUCAAGUUUCCCCACUCUCCAGUGUUAAUCUGGCAGUUAGGACACCAUAAAGCCUGCAGUUUGCUGUCCAGUGAACAGAGUAGUUUCACUGAUUUGUGCACUUAUUGCUGUAAUUUUCCCUGUGGAUAAAAGUUUACGCUUGCAGCAAAGGCAGAUGAAUUCUGCCAACUUGGUGCCAUGGGACCAAAAGUGGAGUAGUUUUAUCCAUUUGGGUACAUCUGAGGGAAAACAAAAACUUUAAUGGCUCUCUGCCAUUCGAACUCUGUUUGAAUGGGGAGGAUGAAAUAACACUCAGACAUGAAAAAAAUCAAGAACUGGUGUUAAGAGGGACAAGCUGUCUCUGCAGGGGGUGGGGGGGAAAAACACAUGAUCCAGAGAACUCUGCAGUAAAAGGAUGGUACUAAGCCCUUUACAGUGCACUGCUUGUUGUCCAAAAAGCUCUUGGAAGUAUUAAAACCUUCCAGGCACCUAAUUGCAGUUCCUGCUGAUAGUCUGUUUGCACAGAGAUGUAACCAUGUAUCCUGUCUCAGCAGAGUGACUAGCCCGAAAUCCCACCAGGUUCCUGCUGGACAGGUAAACAGUAAUCAUGCCAAGCCAAACUACAGAAGAUGCUCAAAGCAGAAGCUCUGGUUAUGAUCAGUAGACUUCUGCUAAUUACUGAAGGAGCUUGCAAGUAUAAGGUGGCUGAUGCUGCAAGGAAGGAUUUAAUCAGUGAGAGAAGAGACCAGAUUAGCACCCAGCUGUCACGUUAAACCGAACCCUAAGAAAUGAACCUUUGCAGUUGAAGCUCAGGCAAUGAAAUGCAUGGUUCCAACCUACUGCAGACUUCCAGCAGUAUCUAGGAGCCCAAGUCACAGACAAAGACUCUGUUAAAGUAGGUAAACUACAAAUAUAGACUGCUUCUAAUAUAAAAAAUAACUAGGGUAUGUUUGCAAAGAAAGCUGGAGGAGACAUUAACAAUGUUAACAGAUUUCUGUAGCCCUUUUUAAAAAGCAUUUAGUAAGUUAAAACCAUCAGCCUAAAACUUAGCCCAGAAAGAAUCAAGGGCCAUGGUCACAGGUGAGGAGUGAGAGAAGAAAUGACCUUUUCUAGGACUGACCACAGUCAAAGAAAAAGACCAAACUAGCUUAGGUUACAAUAAUGUAAAGUUAAGCUAAAAGUUAUAUCUAGCAUGCCUAGAAACAGGAUGAAAAUUUAAGUACAUCUAUUUACAAAGCUGAUAAUAUUGAAGCUUUAUGUUACUGAUUAGAUAAUAAAAGAGGGUUUUAGUGCCAAAAGAUACUACUCCAAGGCGGAGCCCAGUUCAAAGUUCAUUCUGAGAUUCCCAUCCAGGGGCACAAAGAGGCCCUUUCAACUAAACAGCCAGCCUGUUCUAGCUAAAUCUUCAGACCUUCAGAUGUUAUUAAUGUUUCUUAACAUCUUAAGGGUUAAGAAUUUCAACAGUAAGACUUUUCUUAUUUUGUUGUGUUCACAAAAUUAUAUAUCAUGCAGUAUUUGUAUCAUGGAGUACAACAUAAAUUACAGUCAUCCAACCAUUUCAGUGAA